rnacentral:tRNA from 1 species
GGGGAUUUAGCUCAGUGGUAGAGCACUUGCCUAGCAAGCACAAGGACCUGGGUUCAGUCCCCA